rnacentral:lncRNA from 1 species
AAGCUGCAUGUCUUGAGCUGUGCCAAUUUGUAUUCCAGGCAGCCUAAGGUUCCCAUCGUGAGUUUCAGGAAGGGAAAUUCAUGGAGGAAGUUCACCUCUGGAAGGGUUGUAGAUGAGCAUGAGAGUGUGGAGCAGAGUCGGCGAGCGCAAGUCGAGCCCAUCAACCUGGACAGCUGUCUCCGUGCUUUCACCGGUGAGGAAGAGCUAGGGGAAGAUGAGAUGUACUACUGUUCCAAGUGUAAGACCCACUGCUUAGCAACAAAGAAGCUGGAUCUCUGGAGGCUUCCACCCUUCCUGAUUAUUCACCUUAAGUGAUUUCAGUUUGUAAAUGAUCAGUGGAUAAAAUCACAGAAAAUUGUCAAAUUUCCUCGGGAAAGUUUUGACCUGAGUGCUUUUUUGGUACCACGAGACCCGGCUCUCUGCCAGCAUCAACCACUCACACCCCAGGGGGAUGAGCUCUCCAAGCCCAGGAUUCUGGCAAGAGAGGUGAAGAAAGUGGAUGUGCAGAGUUUGGCUGGGGAAUAGGACAUGCUCCUGAGCAAAAGCCCAUCCUCACUCAGCGCUAACAUCAGCAGC